rnacentral:tRNA from 1 species
AAANUUAAAAAAGUUCCUAUUUGGUUCCGGGGCCU